GGGCUUGGAGCUCUUGAGGUCUGGCAUGUAGGUACCCUGUGCCCAGGCACCAGCGGCUCCGCAAGCCC
rnacentral:miRNA from 1 species